ACAGCACGCUAUUAAAACCUGACACUGAAGCCAAUCGGUGUUGUGGUGUCGGAAGUGUGCUAUAGUGACCUGGCCGGGUUUUCGCUAACACCAUGAGGGCACAUGCCCCAUGACUGGCGUUUGAUAGUGACCUGAGCCACAUUA